AUACGUAGGGUGCGAGCGUUGUCCGGAAUUACUGGGCGUAAAGAGCUCGUAGGUGGUUUGUCGCGUCGUCUGUGAAAUUCCGGGGCUUAACUCCGGGCGUGCAGGCGAUACGGGCAUAACUUGAGUACUGUAGGGGAGACUGGAAUUCCUGGUGUAGCGGUGAAAUGCGCAGAUAUCAGGAGGAACACCGGUGGCGAAGGCGGGUCUCGGGGCAGUAACUGACGCUGAGGAGCGAAAGCAUGGGUAGCGAACAGGAUUAGAUCCCCUGGUAGUCCAUGCCGUAAACGGUGGGCGCUAGGUGUAGGGGUCUUCCACGACUUCUGUGCCGUAGCUAACGCAUUAAGCGCCCCGCCUGGGGAGUACGGCCGCAAGGCUAAAACUCAAAUGAAUUGACGGGG
rnacentral:rRNA from 1 species